GUAAUCGCGGAUCAGCAUGCCGCGGUGAAUACGUUCCCGGGCCUUGUACACACCGCCCGUCACACCAUGAGAGUCGGGAACACCCGAAGUCCGUAGCCUAACAGCAAUGGGGGCGCGGCCGAAGGUGGGUUCGAUAAUUGGGGUGAAGUCGUAACAAGGUACC
rnacentral:rRNA from 1 species